rnacentral:rRNA from 1 species
CCUACGGGAGGCUGCAGUGAGGAAUAUUGGUCAAUGGACGAGAGUCUGAACCAGCCAAGUAGCGUGAAGGAUGACUGCCCUAUGGGUUGUAAACUUCUUUUAUAUGGGAAUAAAACUUUCCACGUGUGGGAUUUUGUAUGUACCAUAUGAAUAAGGAUCGGCUAACUCCGUGCCAGCAGCCGCGGUAAUACGGAGGAUCCGAGCGUUAUCCGGAUUUAUUGGGUUUAAAGGGAGCGUAGGUGGAUUGUUAAGUCAGUUGUGAAAGUUUGCGGCUCAACCGUAAAAUUGCAGUUGAAACUGGCAGUCUUGAGUACAGUAGAGGUGGGCGGAAUUCGUGGUGUAGCGGUGAAAUGCUUAGAUAUCACGAAGAACUCCGAUUGCGAAGGCAGUUCACUGGACUGCAACUGACACUGAGGCUCGAAAGUGUGGGUAUCAAACAGGAUUAGAUACCCUGGUAGUC